UACGUAGGGGGCUAGCGUUGUCCGGAAUCAUUGGGCGUAAAGAGCGUGUAGGCGGUCCGGUAAGUCCGCUGUGAAAGUCGGGGGCUCAACCCUCGAAUGCCGGUGGAUACUGUCGGGCUAGAGUGCGGAAGAGGCGAGUGGAAUUCCUGGUGUAGCGGUGAAAUGCGCAGAUAUCAGGAGGAACACCGGUGGCGAAGGCGGGUCUCUGGGCUGACACUGACGCUCAUGCACGAAAGCGUGGGGAGCAAACAGG
rnacentral:rRNA from 1 species